CAUGCAAGUCGAGCGGUAACAUUUGCUAGCUUGCUACAAGAUGACGAGCGGCGGACGGGUGAGUAAUACUUAGGAAUCUACCUAGUAGUGGGGGAUAGCACGGGGAAACUCGUAUUAAUACCGCAUACGACCUACGGGAGAAAGGGGGCAACUUGUUGCUCUCGCUAUUAGAUGAGCCUAAGUCGGAUUAGCUAGAUGGUGGGGUAAAGGCCUACCAUGGCGACGAUCUGUAGCUGGUCUGAGAGGAUGAUCAGCCACACCGGGACUGAGACACGGCCCGGACUCCUACGGGAGGCAGCAGUGGGGAAUAUUGGACAAUGGGGGAAACCCUGAUCCAGCCAUGCCGCGUGUGUGAAGAAGGCCUUUUGGUUGUAAAGCACUUUAAGCAGUGAAGAAGACUCAGUGGUUAAUACCCGCUGACGAUGACAUUAGCUGCAGAAUAAGCACCGGCUAACUCUGUGCCAGCAGCCGCGGUAAUACAGAGGGUGCAAGCGUUAAUCGGAAUUACUGGGCGUAAAGGGAGCGUAGGUGGCUCUAUAAGUCAGAUGUGAAAUCCCCGGGCUCAACCUGGGAACUGCAUCUGAAACUGUAGAGCUAGAAUAGGUGAGAGGAAGGUAGAAUUCCAGGUGUAGCGGUGAAAUGCGUAGAGAUCUGGAGGAAUACCGAUGGCGAAGGCAGCCUUCUGGCAUCAUAUUGACACUGAGGCUCGAAAGCGUGGGUAGCAAACAGGAUUUAGAUACCCUGGUAGUCCACGCCGUAAACGAUGUCUACUAGUCGUUGGGUCCCUUGAGGACUUAGUGACGCAGCUAACGCAAA
rnacentral:rRNA from 1 species